GACGAACCGUGCAAACGUUGUUCGGAAUCACUGGGCUUAAAGGGCGCGUAGGCGGGCGGCCAAGUCAGGGGUGAAAUCUUUCGGCCCAACCGGAAAAGUGCCUUUGAUACUGGUCGUCUUGAGGGAGGUAGGGGUCGGGGGAACUGGUGGUGGAGCGGUGAAAUGCGCAGAUAUCAGGAGGAACACCGGUGGCGAAGGCGGCACUCUGGGCCGGUACUGACGCUGAGGAGCGAAAGCGUGGGGAGCGAACAGG
rnacentral:rRNA from 1 species